AUUGAACGCUGGCGGCAUGCUUUACACAUGCAAGUCGAACGGCAGCACGGGUGCUUGCACCUGGUGGCGAGUGGCGAACGGGUGAGUAAUAUAUCGGAACAUGUCCGGAAGUGGGGGAUAACGUAGCGAAAGUUACGCUAAUACCGCAUAUGCCCUGAGGGGGAAAGGGGGGGAUCGCAAGACCUCUCGCUUUCGGAGUGGCCGAUAUUGGAUUAGCUAGUAGGUGAGGUAAAGGCUCACCUAGGCGACGAUCCGUAGCUGGUCUGAGAGGACGACCAGCCACACUGGGACUGAGACACGGCCCAGACUCCUACGGGAGGCAGCAGUGGGGAAUUUUGGACAAUGGGCGCAAGCCUGAUCCAGCCAUGCCGCGUGAGUGAAGAAGGCCUUCGGGUUGUAAAGCUCUUUCAGCUGGAAAGAAAUCGUAUCUAUUAAUACUAGGUGCGGAUGACGGUACCAGCAGAAGAAGCACCGGCUAACUACGUGCCAGCCGCCGCUGUAA
rnacentral:rRNA from 1 species